CCUACGGGGGCAGCAGUGGGGAAUAUUGGACAAUGGGGGCAACCCUGAUCCAGCCAUGCCGCGUGUGUGAAGAAGGCCCUCGGGUUGUAAAGCACUUUCAGUGAGGAAGAACGCCUGGUGGUUAAUACCCAUCAGGAAAGACAUCACUCACAGAAGAAGCACCGGCUAACUCCGUGCCAGCAGCCGCGGUAAUACGGAGGGUGCGAGCGUUAAUCGGAAUUACUGGGCGUAAAGCGCGCGUAGGUGGCUUGAUAAGCCGGUUGUGAAAGCCCCGGGCUCAACCUGGGAACGGCAUCCGGAACUGUCAAGCUAGAGUGCAGGAGAGGAAGGUAGAAUUCCCGGUGUAGCGGUGAAAUGCGUAGAGAUCGGGAGGAAUACCAGUGGCGAAGGCGGCCUUCUGGACUGACACUGACACUGAGGUGCGAAAGCGUGGGUAGCAAACAGGAUUAGAUACCCUUGUAGUC
rnacentral:rRNA from 1 species